rnacentral:rRNA from 1 species
GGGGACCCCGCACAAGCGGUGGAUGAUGUGGAUUAAUUCGAUGCAACGCGAAAAACCUUACCUACCCUUGACAUGUCCGGAAUCCCGAAGAGAUUUGGGAGUGCUCGCAAGAGAGCCGGAACACAGGUGCUGCAUGGCUGUCGUCAGCUCGUGUCGUGAGAUGUUGGUUAAGUCCCGCAACGAGCGCAACCCUUGUCAUUAGUUGCCAUCAUUUGGUUGGGCACUCUAAUGAGACUGCCGGUGACAAACCGGAGGAAGGUGGGGAUGACGUCAAGUCCUCAUGGCCCUUAUGGGUAGGGCUUCACACGUCAUACAAUGGUCGGUACAGAGGGUUGCCAACCCGCGAGGGGGAGCUAAUCCCACAAAGCCGAUCGUAGUCCGGAUCGCAGUCUGCAACUCGACUGCGUGAAGUCGGAAUCGCUAGUAAUCGUGGAUCAGCAUGUCACGGUGAAUACGUUCCCGGGCCUU